GGUUAAGCGACUAAGCGUACACGGUGGAUGCCCUGGCAGUCAGAGGCGAUGAAGGACGUGCUAAUCUGCGAAAAGCGUCGGUAAGGUGAUAUGAACCGUUAUAACCGGCGAUGUCCGAAUGGGGAAACCCAGUGCAAUUCGUUGCACUAUCGUUAACUGAAUACAUAGGUUAACGAGGCGAACCGGGGGAACUGAAACAUCUAAGUACCCCGAGGAAAAGAAAUCAACCGAGAUUCCCCCAGUAGCGGCGAGCGAACGGGGAGCAGCCCAGAGUCUGAAUCAGCUUGUGUGUUAGUGGAACGGUCUGGAAAGUCCGACGGUACAGGGUGAUAGUCCCGUACACCAAAAUGCACAGGUUGUGAACUCGAAGAGUAGGGCGGGACACGUGGUAUCCUGUCUGAAUAUGGGGGACCAUCCUCCAAGGCUAAAUACUCCUGACUGACCGAUAGUGAACCAGUACCGUGAGGGAAAGGCGAAAAGAACCCCGGCGAGGGGAGUGAAAAAGAACCUGAAACCGUGUACGUACAAGCAGUGGGAGCACCUUCGGGUGUGACUGCGUACCUUUUGUAUAAUGGGUCAGCGACUUAUAUUCUGUAGCAAGGUUAACCGUAUAGGGGAGCCGCAGGGAAACCGAGUCUUAACUGGGCGUUAAGUUGCAGGGUAUAGACCCGAAACCCGGUGAUCUAGCCAUGGGCAGGUUGAAGGUUGGGUAACACUAACUGGAGGACCGAACCGACUAAUGUUGAAAAAUUAGCGGAUGACUUGUGGCUGGGGGUGAAAGGCCAAUCAAACCGGGAGAUAGCUGGUUCUCCCCGAAAGCUAUUUAGGUAGCGCCUCGUGAAUUCAUCUUCGGGGGUAGAGCACUGUUUCGGCUAGGGGGUCAUCCCGACUUACCAACCCGAUGCAAACUACGAAUACCGAAGAAUGUUAUCACGGGAGACACACGGCGGGUGCUAACGUCCGUCGUGAAGAGGGAAACAACCCAGACCGCCAGCUAAGGUCCCAAAGUCAUGGUUAAGUGGGAAACGAUGUGGGAAGGCACAGACAGCCAGGAUGUUGGCUUAGAAGCAGCCAUCAUUUAAAGAAAGCGUAAUAGCUCACUGGUCGAGUCGGCCUGCGCGGAAGAUGUAACGGGGCUAAACCAUGCACCGAAGCUGCGGCAGCGACACUAUGUGUUGUUGGGUAGGGGAGCGUUCUGUAAGCCUGCGAAGGUGUGCUGUGAGGCAUGCUGGAGGUAUCAGAAGUGCGAAUGCUGACAUAAGUAACGAUAAAGCGGGUGAAAAGCCCGCUCGCCGGAAGACCAAGGGUUCCUGUCCAACGUUAAUCGGGGCAGGGUGAGUCGACCCCUAAGGCGAGGCCGAAAGGCGUAGUCGAUGGGAAACAGGUUAAUAUUCCUGUACUUGGUGUUACUGCGAAGGGGGGACGGAGAAGGCUAUGUUAGCCGGGCGACGGUUGUCCCGGUUUAAGCAUGUAGGCUGGUUGUCCAGGCAAAUCCGGAUAAUCAAGGCUGAGGUGUGAUGACGAGGCACUACGGUGCUGAAGUAACAAAUGCCCUGCUUCCAGGAAAAGCCUCUAAGCAUCAGGUAACAUCAAAUCGUACCCCAAACCGACACAGGUGGUCAGGUAGAGAAUACCAAGGCGCUUGAGAGAACUCGGGUGAAGGAACUAGGCAAAAUGGUGCCGUAACUUCGGGAGAAGGCACGCUGGUGUGUAGGUGAAGUCCCUGCGGAUGGAGCUGAGACCAGUCGAAGAUACCAGCUGGCUGCAACUGUUUAUUAAAAACACAGCACUGUGCAAACACGAAAGUGGACGUAUACGGUGUGACGCCUGCCCGGUGCCGGAAGGUUAAUUGAUGGGGUUAUCCGUAAGGAGAAGCUCUUGAUCGAAGCCCCGGUAAACGGCGGCCGUAACUAUAACGGUCCUAAGGUAGCGAAAUUCCUUGUCGGGUAAGUUCCGACCUGCACGAAUGGCGUAAUGAUGGCCAGGCUGUCUCCACCCGAGACUCAGUGAAAUUGAACUCGCUGUGAAGAUGCAGUGUACCCGCGGCAAGACGGAAAGACCCCGUGAACCUUUACUAUAGCUUGACACUGAACAUUGAGCCUUGAUGUGUAGGAUAGGUGGGAGGCUUUGAAGCGUGGACGCCAGUCUGCGUGGAGCCAACCUUGAAAUACCACCCUUUAAUGUUUGAUGUUCUAACGUUGGCCCCUGACCGGGGUUGCGGACAGUGUCUGGUGGGUAGUUUGACUGGGGCGGUCUCCUCCCAAAGCGUAACGGAGGAGCACGAAGGUUAGCUAAUCCUGGUCGGACAUCAGGAGGUUAGUGCAAUGGCAUAAGCUAGCUUGACUGCGAGCGUGACGGCGCGAGCAGGUGCGAAAGCAGGUCAUAGUGAUCCGGUGGUUCUGAAUGGAAGGGCCAUCGCUCAACGGAUAAAAGGUACUCCGGGGAUAACAGGCUGAUACCGCCCAAGAGUUCAUAUCGACGGCGGUGUUUGGCACCUCGAUGUCGGCUCAUCACAUCCUGGGGCUGAAGUAGGUCCCAAGGGUAUGGCUGUUCGCCAUUUAAAGUGGUACGCGAGCUGGGUUUAGAACGUCGUGAGACAGUUCGGUCCCUAUCUGCCGUGGGCGCUGGAGAAUUGAGGGGGCUGCUCCUAGUACGAGAGGACCGGAGUGGACGCAUCACUGGUGUUCGGGUUGUCAUGCCAAUGGCACUGCCCGGUAGCUAAAUGCGGAAGAGAUAAGUGCUGAAAGCAUCUAAGCACGAAACUUGCCCCGAGAUGAGUUCUCCCUGAGACUUUAAGUCUCCUGAAGGAACGUUGAAGACGACGACGUUGAUAGGCCGGGUGUGUAAGCGCAGCGAUGCGUUGAGCUAACCGGUACUAAUGAACCGUGAGGCUUAACCUU
rnacentral:rRNA from 1 species